AUAUAUGUCAGCUAAAUAAGCUAAUGGGUUCAUACCUCAUAAAUGAAUUAUUUUUG
rnacentral:tRNA from 1 species